rnacentral:rRNA from 1 species
UAGGGAAUCUUCCACAAUGGGCGCAAGCCUGAUGGAGCAACACCGCGUGAGUGAAGAAGGGUUUCGGCUCGUAAAGCUCUGUUGUUAAAGAAGAACACGUAUGAGAGUAACUGUUCAUACGUUGACGGUAUUUAACCAGAAAGUCACGGCUAACUACGUGCCA